GCCAGGUGUGGUGGUGCACACCUGUAAUCCCAGCUACUGGGGAGGCUGAGGCAGGAGAAUCACUUGAACCUGAGAGCCAGAGGUUGCAGUGAGCCGAGAUGGUGUCAUUGCACUCCAGCUUAGGUGACAGAGUGAGACUCUGUCUCAA
rnacentral:sRNA from 1 species